rnacentral:rRNA from 1 species
GACGAACCGUACGAACGUUAUUCGGAAUUACUGGGCUUAAAGGGUGCGUAGGCUGUGCAGAAAGUUGGGUGUGAAAUCCCCCGGCUCAACCGGGGAACUGCGCUCAAAACUACUGUGCUAGAGGGAGACAGAGGUAAGCGGAACUCAGGGUGGAGCGGUGAAAUGCGUUGAUAUCCUGAGGAACACCGGUGGCGAAGGCGGCUUACUGGGUCUCUUCUGACGCUGAGGCACGAAAGCUAGGGUAGCGAACGGG